rnacentral:rRNA from 1 species
UUAGAGUGCUCAAAGCAGGCUCUGAAUGCCUGUAUACAUAUUCAUGGAAUUGGAGAAUACGUCCCUGGCUCGAUUUGGUUGGUUUUGAGAGUCGAAGGGAAAUGAUUAAUAGGGACUGACGGAGGCAUUCGUAUUGCGACGCGAGGGGUGAAAUCCUGUGACCGUCGCACGACGAACUACUGCGAAAGCAUUUGCCGAGAAUGUUUUCAUUAGUCAAGAACGAAAGUUAGAGGUUCGAAGGCGAUCAGAUACCGCCCUAGUUCUAACCGUAACGAUGUCGACCAGCAAUCCGCAACGGUCACUUUACGGACUGUGCGGGCAGCUUCCCCGGGGAAACCAGAGUUUUUGGACUCCGGGGGAAGGUAUGGUUGCAAAGCUGAAACUUAAAGGAAUUGACGGAAGGGCACCACCAGGAGUGGAGCUUGCGGCUUAAUUUGACUCAACACGGGACAACUCACCAGGCCCGGACACCGUAAGGAUUGACAGACUGAUAGCUCUCUCUUGAUUCAGUGGGUGGUGGUGCAUGGCCGUUCUUAGUUGGUGGAGUGAUUUGUCUGGUUUAUUCCGAUAACGAACGAGACUCUGGCCUAUUAAACUUGACGCCGUCAGUCUCUUGUGACUGCGGAGCGCUUCUUAGAGGGAUCAUCGGCGUCCAGCCGAAGGAAGGGAGACAAUAAC